AUCGUCUGUAAUCGGCACCAGUUUCGCUCAUUAAAACUUAAAAUUUAGUUUAAGAGCAGUUUAAGAAAAAAUAUAUAGCACUGUGCAGAAUGAUGCGCAAACGCCGCCGUUAUGCUGGAAGCCUUUUCAGAUGCGGGGAAUCUCUUGAAAUUCGAAGCGACGUUUAACAAUUGCCAACAUCUCACAGUCGCACAAACACUUCAAUGGGAGUAGUUUUUUUUCCCCCAUGAGUUAAUAAUGACAUUAAUUCAAAAUCGAGCGAAGUUACGGGGAAUUUGCACGGAGAUUUCAGCUUUUAUGCAUCAGUGUUUCUGCAGGCUUCUCAGACUCAAAAAUGUUUGGAUCGCGCUGCCAUCUAGCGUACGUUGUGGAAUUACAUCCACAUCACACCCCAACGGGCGAGCCAUCAAACUUGCAUUUUUAAGCGCUUAAAUAAAUCUUAGAUAAUAAUUAAAAAGCUCGAACGUGCGUAGAAUUAUCUUGUGUACUUUUGUAGUUCAUAAAAAGUCAAUUUCGCAGGUUAAAGAUAUCGGAUUGGCAUUAAUGAAUUAUUAAGAAAACAUAAACAUACAUUGAUUAGAGCAUCAUAAUUCAUAAUUAAUGUUUAAACAGUGCUUCCUAAUUAAAAUGACGCUCUGUUUAUAUAAAACCAAGACACAAAAAAUGCCAAUUGUAUUCAUAAGCUUAGAAAAUAACAACCCAACACUCAAAGACAUAAAAGUACUUUAACACAACAAAGCACGCACAAGCACGUCUAGACUCAAACAGAGAUAUAAGAAGAUAUAACAUAGCGUUAAUAUAUGGAAGUGCCUCUGUUUGAAUGCGCAUUCAGGAGGGAUGGCUUGUUUUUUAAGUAUUCAAUAAGAGAGCUCUCUCUCCCCGUCCCUGUCUCGGACACACACCGUGGAAACUCUCCGGCCAUGUCUCCAGCACUCUGAAAAGGUGAAACCAAUAAGAUUAAAUCGGACAAUGCAUUUUUUGCCCCCUUUCUUCCCCCUUUGGUGUAUCAUUAAGAUUUAACUCCGCACAUUUUGGUAAAAGAAUGGGGGUCCGCAUGAGGGAAGAAGAGGAGAGAGAAGAGAGGAAAAGAGUGAGAGGGGGAAGCGAAUAGGAAGCGGGGUAGAUAUAUUAGAGAGGCUCUGAUAGAAACCUGCAUGUGGAGAAAGUGGACGGGUGGGAUGUUGGAAGAAGGAGAAGAAGCACCGGCGCAGGAGCGGCUGCUGUGCAGUCACAGAGAAGGCUCACAGCGCUGUAGCUGCAGGAGGCGUCCGAACAAACGCCGAAGGAGGACGGAGAGGCUGGAAUGGGGUUUUCCUUAAUGCUGUUUGAUUUUAGGAAGAGGUUGUCCCUAUUUAGUAGGAUAGGGGUUUAUGUGCUGGAUAAAUUGAGGAUUAACAUUUGAUUCAUCCUUAUUGCCCUAUAGAAAUCCCAUUUCCAAUUUUAUAUCGGCUUCUUUGAAAUGAAGAUGUGGAAAAGAGUGUAGUUUGAUUUUCUGGGAAUCUAAGAUCAACAACUUUCACGGCAGGAAAUCAAAAUGAAAUUAUUUUGAAGUGAUAGUGAUAUUCAAAUGUAAAAACCUAUCAUGGAUUCUGCUGGUUUAACUGUGACAAGAUUAAAAUAAUCAGUGACUAAAUAAUAGCUUUACAAAGUUUGUUUGUUCCCUUUACUUGUUGUAAGCACAUAAGUAACAUUAUAUGAAAACACAAAUUUCCAUAAUCUCUUCUAAAAAUGCACCAAUCAGGAGUUUCUGACAAUACUGAAUUUCAAUUUUGAUCAAUUUUCAGAUCUGCCAAUAAUUUUUUCUGGUCAGUUCUAUGACAGAUAUGAGUCAGGGGAAAAAGUCAGAUUUCCCCUGAAUCUGACUUUUUCUACUAUUGAAUGUUAAUAGAAUACUGUGAUUAUAUAUUGGGCCACACAAGAACUAACAUCAUUCUCACUUGAUUUCAAGAGUUUCACUCUUUGAAUGCCAUUCACAAUUUUACAUAAAUUUUUUUCCAUCAUGUAAAUUUUUGGACUUAUUUCACGCUUUAUGGCUGGACAUGACUCAAGGUGUUCCACAGCACAAAGAAAGAGGCUACAGUUUGCUUUAGCCCCAUUGCAAUAUAUCAGGAAAAACAAGCAGAGAAUGAACAUUAUUGAUGAUUUGUGCAGACGGACCCCAGACGAUCUUGAAUUAUGUGUGAGAGCAAAAGAUAGACACUUGCACAUUGCUGUGUUUACUUGGGUCUUGUGUAUGUGUGUGUGUGUGUCAGUUUUCCCUCAGAUGUUCCCUGUGACCUUUGACCCUGGAGCCGGGGUCAAACCCUGACAAAUGAGACGGUUGAGCUCUGAGCAGAGCAGCAAACAUUCCACAACCAUCUUCUGUCCUCCUUCUCCUACUCCUUACAUCACUCACCCCACUCUCUCUCCAUCUCCUUUUUAACUACAACGGGAGCAAAUGAUGUUUAAAACAAACAAUGAUGAUGUUGAAUAAGUUUAACAUCUGCCUUUUUAUAUUAAAUCAGGGAAAUCAUGUGAUCUGAGAGAAGUAAAUGCUGCGAAAGAGUUGAAAUUUUACAACUAUGCACUUUAACAACACACUCCCUGUUGUGUCUAUGAGUAUGUGCGUGGGUGCGCGCGUUUGUGUGUGUGUGUGUGUGGAAAGACUGUCAGUGAUGUCAAGGAUGAGAAAUGUUGCUGUGAGGUUUUUUACACACGCUGCUGGCUCCAGCAUUUCCGGCAACAUUUCUCACUCUGCCUCCCUCACACCAUCCGCUCUCCUGCAAUAUCCCGACAUUUUUCUGUCCUUUCCCUUCUCUUCCCUGCUCCCUCCCCUCCUCACUUUCAAUCCCCACUUCAAACUUCCUCUCCUUGUGCCAUCCUACUCAUCCUAAUCUCAGCCCUUUUCCUUUCUCUCUCUCUUUCUCUCUCCCCUUCUUGCUCGCGCUCUCUCUCUCUCACACGCAUACUCUCUCCACCCACUAUUCUCUCUGAUUUUCUGGACACAGAAUGCAACCACCUGUGUCUUUAGGAUGAAUGUGAGGAGUUAUCCACAUUACUCCAGUGAGAGCUGCUUAAGGUAAGUUGGUUGUUAUUUAUUCUACAUUUUUUGAAUGAAAUUGCUGUAACAAGCCUAACUGCCCUUUACAAAUGGAUCAGUUACUGCUGUGAUAACUGUGAUAACAGUUGUCUAAUUACGAACGUCAGCAGAGCAGCCAGUGUCGGAAAAGACAUGCAAUGCAGUAAGACGGUGUGACGCUAUUGAACUUGUACAAUGAUGUAAUGUAACAGUUACUGGAAUGCAGCUCCACGCAGCACAUAAUCCUAAUAAAAACAAAACACCAAUAUA